rfam:Ipomoea nil DNA, scaffold: scaffold2792, cultivar: Tokyo-kokei standard.
GUCAGGAUGGCCAAGUGGUCUAAGGCGCCAGGCUCAAGUUUUGGUCUUCGUAAGUGGGCGUGGGUUCAAAUCCCACUCUUGACA